rnacentral:misc_RNA from 1 species
GAGUGAAGGAAAGGCUUAUAUAGAGAAGUAAAGAGUGAGGCUUAGAGAAGAGACGAGUGCUUUUCCGUGAGAGAAGUGAACCGAUUUCUCGUGGGAAAUGGCGUGAAAGCUUAAAUAGCGAAACUNCAGCAUCAAAAGAUUGUAGAAAGAAACAGUGGCUUUGAAGAGAAGCAACAAGAGUAGGCAGUGGAGUCUUAUUCUUGAAUCUUCCUCUCUCAGAGAUUACUUUUUCAUUAUUUUGGCUUCUGAGAGAAGACGAAACCACACUCCCUUUCUCUCCGCCGCGCGUGUCCUUGUGCUGCG